rnacentral:rRNA from 1 species
CAUGAAGCUGGAAUCGCUAGUAAUCGCGAAUCAGAAUGUCGCGGUGAAUACGUUCCCGGGUCUUGUACACACCGCCCGUCACACCAUGGGAGUCGGAAAUGCCCGAAGUCAGUGACCUAACCGAAAGGGAGGAGCUGCCGAAGGUGGAGCCGGUAACUGGGGUGAAGUCGUAACAAGGUAGC